UACGAAGGGGGCUAGCGUUGUUCGGAUUUACUGGGCGUAAAGCGCACGUAGGCGGAUUGCUAAGUCAGGGGUGAAAUCCUGGAGCUCAACUCCAGAACUGCCUUUGAUACUGGCGACCUUGAGUCCGGGAGAGGUGAGUGGAACUGCGAGUGUAGAGGUGAAAUUCGUAGAUAUUCGCAAGAACACCAGUGGCGAAGGCGGCUCACUGGCCCGGUACUGACGCUGAGGUGGCG
rnacentral:rRNA from 1 species